rnacentral:rRNA from 1 species
AGACCCGAAACCCGGUGAUCUAGCCAUGGGCAGGUUGAAGGUUGGGUAACACUAACUGGAGGACCGAACCGACUAAUGUUGAAAAAUUAGCGGAUGACCUGUGGCUGGGGGUGAAAGGCCAAUCAAACCGGGAGAUAGCUGGUUCUCCCCGAAAGCUAUUUAGGUAGCGCCUCGUGAAUUCAUCUCCGGGGGUAGAGCACUGUUUCGGCUAGGGGGCCAUCCCGGCUUACCAACCCGAUGCAAACUGCGAAUACCGGAGAAUGUUAUCACGGGAGACACACGGCGGGUGCUAACGUCCGUCGUGAAGAGGGAAACAACCCAGACCGCCAGCUAAGGUCCCAAAGUCAUGGUUAAGUGGGAAACGAUGUGGGAAGGCCCAGACAGCCAGGAUGUUGGCUUAGAAGCAGCCAUCAUUUAAAGAAAGCGUAAUAGCUCACUGGUCGAGUCGGCCUGCGCGGAAGAUGUAACGGGGCUAAACCAUGCACCGAAGCUGCGGCAGCGACACUGUGUGUUGUUGGGUAGGGGAGCGUUCUGUAAGCCUGUGAAGGUGUGUCGUGAGGCAUGCUGGAGGUAUCAGAAGUGCGAAUGCUGACAUAAGUAACGAUAAAGCGGGUGAAAAGCCCGCUCGCCGGAAGACCAAGGGUUCCUGUCCAACGUUAAUCGGGGCAGGGUGAGUCGACCCCUAAGGCGAGGCCGAAAGGCGUAGUCGAUGGGAAACGGGUUAAUAUUCCCGUACUUGGUGUUACUGCGAAGGGGGGACGGAGAAGGCUAUGUUGGCCGGGCGACGGUUGUCCCGGUUUAAGCGUGUAGGUGUGUGUUCCAGGUAAAUCCGGUUCACUUUAACACUGAGGCGUGACGACGAGGCACUACGGUGCUGAAGCAACAAAUGCCCUGCUUCCAGGAAAAGCCUCUAAGCAUCAGGUAACAUCAAAUCGUACCCCAAACCGACACAGGUGGUCAGGUAGAGA